rnacentral:lncRNA from 1 species
GUUUAGAAAGGUCAACUCCUAAUUGUAUUAUAUAUGGAGAACUAGGUAGAUAUCCUUUUGAUGUAUUUAGCAAAAGUAGGACAAUUGGUGUAUGGAAAAUUUCUUAUGCAAUAAGCAAGAUAAGAUUUCCUUUAAUUUGUUGAAAUUGUAAUACACCAUGCAUAACAGAAAUAUGUACAAUUCAGAAUGGAUACGUGGUGUUGAACAUACUCUAAAUAAAUGUGAUUGUUCCGAAUAUUGGUUAACUCAAAUUGUGUCUUAAUCUGCAAACCAAGCUAAUUGUAAGGCUGAGGUUAUGUGACCAAUUUAAGCAAAAAUGAUAUGCUUCUGUGUAUGAAUAACCUAAAUGUCUCAAUUAUAUAAUUUUUUAAAGAAA